UUGAUUUCACACUGCCGAGAAAAGCCUCUAGAUAGAAAAUAGGUGCCCGUACCGCAAACCGACACAGGUAGUCAAGAUGAGAAUUCUAAGGUGAGCGAGCGAACUCUCGUUAAGGAACUCGGCAAAAUGACCCCGUAACUUCGGGAGAAGGGGUGCUCUUUAGGGUUAACGCCCAGAAGAGCCGCAGUGAAUAGGCCCAAGCGACUGUUUAUCAAAAACACAGGUCUCUGCUAAACCGUAAGGUGAUGUAUAGGGGCUGACGCCUGCCCGGUGCUGGAAGGUUAAGAGGAGUGGUUAGCUUCUGCGAAGCUACGAAUCGAAGCCCCAGUAAACGGCGGCCGUAACUAUAACGGUCCUAAGGUAGCGAAAUUCCUUGUCGGGUAAGUUCCGACCCGCACGAAAGGCGUAACGAUUUGGGCACUGUCUCAACGAGAGACU
rnacentral:rRNA from 1 species